rnacentral:rRNA from 1 species
GUGUGGGAGUAUCGACCCUUCCGUGCCGCAGUAACGCAUUAAGUGCACCGCCUGGGGAGUACGAUCGCAAGAUUGAGACUCAAAGGAAUUGACGGGGGCCCGCACAAGCGGUGGAGCAUGUGGUUUAAUUCGAGGCAACGCGAAGAACCUUACCCAGCCUUGACAUCCCGUGACCGCCAUGGAAACAUGGUUUUCUCUUCGGAGACGCGGUGACAGGUGUUGCAUGGCUGUCGUCAGCUCGUGUCGUGAGAUGUUGGGUUAAGUCCCGCAACGAGUGCAACCCCUAUCCUUGGUUACCAGCGGAUAAUGCCGGGCACUCUAGGGAGACUGCCGGUGACAAACCGGAGGAAGGUGGGGACGAGGUCAAGUCAUCAUGGCCCUUAUGGCUGGGGCUACACACGUGCUACAAUGGCCGGUACAAAGGGUUGCGAACCCGCGAGGGUAAGCCAAUCUCAAAAAGCCGGUCUCAGUUCGGAUUGGAGUCUGCAACUCGACUCCAUGAAGUUGGAAUCGCUAGUAAUCGCGUAUCAGCUACGACGCGGUGAAUACGUUCCCGGGCCUUGUACACACCGCCCGUCACAUGACCCGAGUCGGGUGCACCCGAAGUCGCUGGCCCAACCCGCAAGGGAGGGAGGCGCCGAAGGUGUGCUUGGUAAGGGGGU